AUGGCUCGUACUAAGCAGACCGCUCGUAAGUCCACUGGAGGAAAGGCUCCAAGGAAGCAGCUAGCCACCAAGGCUGCCCGUAAGUCUGCUCCCACUACUGGAGGAGUGAAGAAGCCUCACCGUUACCGCCCUGGAACUGUUGCUCUUCGUGAGAUCCGCAAGUACCAGAAGAGCACGGAGCUGCUCAUCAGGAAGCUUCCAUUCCAGAGGCUUGUUAGGGAGAUUGCCCAGGACUUCAAGACUGACCUCCGCUUCCAGAGCCAUGCGGUGCUGGCCCUUCAGGAGGCUGCAGAGGCCUACCUGGUGGGUCUCUUCGAGGACACCAACCUGUGCGCCAUCCAUGCCAAGCGGGUGACCAUCAUGCCCAAGGACAUUCAGCUGGCUAGGAGGAUCCGUGGCGAGAGGGCUUAA
rnacentral:rRNA from 1 species